UAUUCCUUUAAGUGAAUAAUCUUCAUCUAAUAAAAUGCUUAAUUUGUGCACAUUGUUAAGUGUGUGACCUAUAUCUUAUCUAAAAGCUUAAGAUGUUACAGAGAUUACAAUUUUCUUUAUUUAAUUGUCUCUUCAACUCGCCCCUUACCCGCGAGAUUUGAUUCAAUUUCACGCACCAAGCAUGUGAAAUUCAUUUUUGAUCAUGGGUGGCGAUGAGACUUGAACUCGGAACAUUUGCAUGCUCUGGUACCAUGUUGAAGUAUGUGAUCAUAUCAUCUAAAAGCUUAAGCUAUUUGAAAGAACAUACUUUUAUUUACUUAAUUAUGUCUCAACAUAUACAAUCACUUUCUUGCUAGUAAUUUUGUGACUCAAAUCAUUAUAGAAAAUGGUUAUUGUCGGAAGCUAAAUUGAGCUUGAAUACUGGUGGAUUUUGUCAGAAGUUUGACUUUUGCCUUGUGCAGUAUUGACACCGACGCUAUUAACUGUUUAUCUCUUUUUCAUGAUUGCAAAAGCGUUGGUAGAUUUAGCCUUUGUUUUUGAAGUUCUUAUAAUAUUGCUUUACCUAUGUGCUAGCCGUUAUCCCGUUAGUUGAAAUGAUUGUUCUUGUGUUUGUACUUGUGAUAAGCUUUGGGAAGUACGAGUACGACUGUUACAUCAUCAAGCUCCCCAGUGCCUGGAGGCAAGCAGCUGUUCUCCAAUGUUGCAAGGCUUGGUUUUGCCGCUGGAUGUGAUCCUCCAGCGCUAAAGACGGAUGAGCCCAGACGUGAUUCUACUGUUGCAUCUGUUCUCUCAGGAACAAGGAGUUCUGGAACCAUGUCCUUUGCAAAUGUAACGUCCAAAGCAAAAGCUGUUGAAGGUCCCAAUGCGUCUAAAUCAAAUGAUGCAGGAAAGAGGGGGAAGAAGCCAAAUCGGAUCCUAAUGUCAACGUCUGGUGGUAGGCGUUACUGAAUCUUGAAGGGACCUGAUAAAGAAACCUAUCUGUAUAUUAAUAACUGGUUUACCUCUGUAACCGGGAUUUGCUAGUUGUUACUCACCUAGAUUUGAGCAUGGUGUUUUCGAACAGUGUUGUGAAGUUGUAGCUAGCGUUUCGCCAUAAAUUCCCAAAUUUGUUUUGAAAAAUCUGAUUUGGGUUAAGUUUGGUUUGAAGAUGAAAA